CGGCUGUAGCAGUAGAGUGUGAUCCUGGCUCAGGAUAUGUCGUAAGAUGGUACCCAUAUAGUUGAGUUGCGGAGGGGUGAUUAACUCGUGUGUAACCUGCCCCCUAGGACUGGGAUAACUCCGGGAAACCGUGGGCUAAUACGGGAAUAACUUUUUGAACCGCAUGGUUCGAAAUUUAAAGGCGGCUUUUGCUGUCACUUAUGGAUGGACCCGCGUCGCAUUAUCUCUUUGGUGAGGUAACGGCUCACCACGGCAACGAUGCGUAGCCGACCUGAGAGGGUGAUCAGGCCACCCUGGGACUGAGACGCGGCCCGGACUCCUACGGGAGGCAGCAGUAGGGAAUCUUCUGACAAUGGUCUAAAGUUUGACGGAGCAAUUCUCUCCGCGGUGAGUGAUGAAGGCUUUACGGGUCGUAACAACUCUGUUGUUAGGGACUUGAACCAGUGCUAGUUGAAUCAGCUGGCACCUUGACGGUACCUAACCAGAUUAGGGGGGGGGCAUAACUACCGUGCCCGCAGCCGCGGUUCUGCGUAGGUGGCAAGCGUUAUCCGGAAUUAAUCUGGGCUUUAAGCGCGCGCAGGUGGUUUCUUAAGUCUGUAUUUGAAACUCCCACGGCUCCACCGUGGAGUGUCCUUGUAUAUCUGGGAGAACUUGAGUGUCAGAAGAGGAAAGUGGAAUUCCAUGUGUAGCGGUGAAAUGCGUAGAGAUAUGGAGGAACACCAGUGGCGAAAGCGACUUUCUGGUCUGUAACUGACACUGAGGCGCGAAAGCGUGGGGAGCAAACAGGAUUAGAUACCCUGGUAGUCCACGCCGUAAACGAUGAGUGCUAAGUGUUAGAGGGUUUCCGCCCUUUAGUGCUGAAGUUAACGCAUUAAGCACUCCGCCUGGGGAGUACGGCGGCAGGCUGAAAUUCAAAGGAAUGACGGGGGCCGGCCCAAGCGGUGAAGCAUGGGGUUUAUUUGGAACCACCGCGAAGACCCUUACCAGUUUUACCAUCUUCUGCCACCCUUGGGGAUAGGGUUUUUCCUUCGGAACCAGAGUGCCAGGUGGGCCAUGGUGGUCUUCAGCUCGGUUCUUGAGAGUUGGGUUUAAUUCCCGCAACAAGGCCAACCUUUGUUCUUAGUGCCCUCCAUUAAGUGGGCCAUUCUAAGGUGAUGCCCGGUGCCAACCCGGAGGAAGGGGGGGAGGACGUCAAUUCUUCAUCCCCCUUUUGCCUUGGGUAACACACGUGUUCCAAUGGACGGUCCAAAAAGCUCCAAGACCGGGAGGGGGAGUUAUUUUCAUAAAACCUUUUCCAUUUCGGAUUUUAGGUUCCAAUUGCCUUCCAGGAAGCGGGAUUCGUUGGUAAUCGCGGUUUACCAGGCCCAAGGUGUCCGUUUAGUUUCUUCAGGGUCUCGGUAUAUGGUAACACAGUAGCUGUAUAGUUUGAUCCUGGGUCGGGAUAAGUCGUAACAAGGUAGCCGUAGAGUCCUUU
rnacentral:rRNA from 1 species